GACGAACGCUGGCGGCGUGCUUAACACAUGCAAGUCGAACGGAAAGGCCCUUCGGGGUACUCGAGUGGCGAACGGGUGAGUAACACGUGGGUGAUCUGCCCUGCACUUUGGGAUAAGCCUGGGAAACUGGGUCUAAUACCGAAUAGGACCACGCGCUUCAUGGUGUGUGGUGGAAAGCUUUUGCGGUGUGGGAUGGGCCCGCGGCCUAUCAGCUUGUUGGUGGGGUAAUGGCCUACCAAGGCGACGACGGGUAGCCGGCCUGAGAGGGUGACCGGCCACACUGGGACUGAGAUACGGCCCAGACUCCUACGGGAGGCAGCAGUGGGGAAUAUUGCACAAUGGGCGCAAGCCUGAUGCAGCGACGCCGCGUGAGGGAUGACGGCCUUCGGGUUGUAAACCUCUUUCAAUAGGGACGAAGCGCAAGUGACGGUACCUAUAGAAGAAGCACCGGCCAACUACGUGCCAGCAGCCGCGGUAAUACGUAGGGUGCGAGCGUUGUCCGGAAUUACUGGGCGUAAAGAGCUCGUAGGUGGUUUGUCGCGUUGUUCGUGAAAACUCACAGCUUAACUGUGGGCGUGCGGGCGAUACGGGCAGACUAGAGUACUGCAGGGGAGACUGGAAUUCCUGGUGUAGCGGUGGAAUGCGCAGAUAUCAGGAGGAACACCGGUGGCGAAGGCGGGUCUCUGGGCAGUAACUGACGCUGAGGAGCGAAAGCGUGGGGAGCGAACAGGAUUAGAUACCCUGGUAGUCCACGCCGUAAACGGUGGGUACUAGGUGUGGGUUCCUUCCUUGGGAUCCGUGCCGUAGCUAACGCAUUAAGUACCCCGCCUGGGGAGUACGGCCGCAAGGCUAAAACUCAAAGGAAUUGACGGGGGCCCGCGCAAGCGGCGGAGCAUGUGGAUUAAUUCGAUGCAACGCGAAGAACCUUACCUGGGUUUGACAUGCACAGGACGCCGGCAGAGAUGUCGGUUCCCUUGUGGCCUGUGUGCAGGUGGUGCAUGGCUGUCGUCAGCUCGUGUCGUGAGAUGUUGGGUUAAGUCCCGCAACGAGCGCAACCCUUGUCCUAUGUUGCCAGCGGGUUAUGCCGGGGACUCGUAGGAGACUGCCGGGGUCAACUCGGAGGAAGGUGGGGAUGACGUCAAGUCAUCAUGCCCCUUAUGUCCAGGGCUUCACACAUGCUACAAUGGCCGGUACAAAGGGCUGCGAUGCCGUGAGGUGGAGCGAAUCCUUUCAAAGCCGGUCUCAGUUCGGAUCGGGGUCUGCAACUCGACCCCGUGAAGUCGGAGUCGCUAGUAAUCGCAGAUCAGCAACGCUGCGGUGAAUACGUUCCCGGGCCU
rnacentral:rRNA from 1 species